GUCUGAGAAAUGACAUGGAUGUGGCCACUAGGCGGAGCUGUUGUGCAAGUUAUGUACAGCCCUAGUGGCAGUUAUAUAUGUCAGCAUUCAAACAGUGAAUCAUUGGAAUGUUGAUGCAACUGUCAACUGUCCUCCUCAACUGUCACUGAGGGAGAGUGAGACAGUCGGUCCUUCUGAGAGAGAGGGGCCGGGUAUGACAGUUGGUGUGCAGAAGCUCAGGGAGGCUGACCAGAUUACUCCCAUAUUAUUCUGAAAGAAGGGUUUUUUGGCCAUUUUGAGGCAGAAGAUCCGCAUUUGCAAGGGCAACCAAGGAUGAAAAUGGAGGAGCAGGUCUCUGUGGGUCAUCCACAAGUGGGAGUCCCAGAUGGAAGAAAGGAAGGCCCUCCUGUCCUCUGGGCCACUGGAGAAGGCAAGGCCAAGAUGGAGGAUAACCACAGGCCCCCUCACGCAAUGCAUGCUGAGAGUGGUGAGGUGUCCUAUGUCAGAGUGACCACAACUCAGGUGAAGGAGGAACCAGAAGAUGGUCAGGACUCCCGCUGGGAAACCCAUUGGCAGGAGUUCCUCAAAAUUGUGGGAUCCCCUCCGUCAGAGCAGGAGAUCCCCGAGGAAGCCACCCCAUGGGGGGACACAAAGGCCUUCCUGGACUCCUUUGAGCAAGUGGCCAAAGCCUGUAGGUGGCCCAGAGAGGAGUGGAUGGCUCGGCUGUUGCCUGCCCUCAGCGGUGAAGCGGAGAUGACCUUCCAGAUGAUGGAAGCUGGAGAGAAAGAGGAUUAUGGGAAGGUGAAGGUGGCCCUCUUGCGAAGAGAUGCCCUCAACAGGGAGAAGAGCCGCCAGCACUUUCGACACUUCUGCUACAUGGAGGCCAAGGGUCCAAGAGCCACAUACGACCAGCUCCAGCGACUCUGCCGGCGGUGGCUGGAGGUCGAGAAGCACACCAAGGAGCAGAUCCUGGAGCUGCUCAUCUUGGAGCAGUUCCUCACAGUCCUGCCAUUGGAGACGCAGAGCUGGGUGAGAGAAUGUGGCCCGGAGACCUGCUCCCAGGCGGUGGCCCUGGCCGAGGCGUUUCUGCUGAAGCAGCAAGAGGUUGAGAGGCACAAUAACCCGGUGGUCUCGGAUGCAGGGGCCGUAGAUUUUUCUGAAGCAGAAUGUGCUCCUGCUGGAACCGAACAGAUACACCUGUAUGUCGAAACGAAGCAGGAGGAGGAGGAGGAUGACAGUCCUUUGGGUAAUGGGUGGAUGCCCAUGUUUGAGAGGGAAAGAGAUGUGGCAGAAGACUCAGAACCAGCGAGGCCAUGCAGAGUGUCCCGAUGGAAAGCCGAAGAGGUUGUUUCUCAGUGUUGUGUUCAAGAAAGUGCCUCAACCAGUCAGGAGAGACUGGACCAUCGACAGCAAACCUAUGCAGGGAGUGAAGCAGAUGGAUCCGGACCUUACGGGGGAGAGUACAAGGGCCGGAUUGUAACCGCAGUGCAGACGGAAAUUGACCCUAAUAAAAAACGGAAUGCCUGCAGAGCUUACGGAAAAGGUUUUGGUCGCCGGACAGGCUCAAAGGCACACAAAUGCUCAGUCUGUGGGAAAUUCUUUCUUUCAGGCUCAAAGCUGAUUAUUCACCAAAGGACCCACACAGGGGAGAAGCCGUAUGAAUGUCCUUCCUGCGGGAAAACCUUCCGCUCCAGUUCAGUUCUUUAUCGUCACCAGAGAAUUCACACUGGAGAGAAACCGCACAAAUGCCCUGUCUGUGGGAGACGAUUCGGCAGCAAUUCAAACCUUCAUCGACAUCAGAGGAUCCAUACUGGGGAGAGGCCGUAUGAAUGCUUGGAUUGUGGGAAAAGCUUCAUCCAGAGAGCCAACCUCAAAAAGCAUCACAAAAUACACAAAGUGGAAGGGAAGCGCGAGGAAAGUCUCACCACAAGCUGAGACUUUCCUUGCUUUGUGAGGCAGUACUUGGGAACACAAAAAGUGAAUUUUGCAAAAGCUCAUUUCAGAGGAUUGUUUUGAGAAAAGGACACACACAGUACUUCCAGCAAUUUAUUUGGUCAGUUGACCCCUUAUGACUAUUUUGGACCGUUUUGGGUGCUUUGCUGGAAUUAUAGGAUGGCAAGAUGAUGCUGUCAAAUGAGAGCUCUCCAGUCUUCAUUUGUUGUUGAUGGACAGUUGCGUUUUGGGACAUACUGCCCAGCGCCACUUUGAACAGCAAGAUUUCUAAAGACAAUUUCUUUAUCACUGUAUUUUGUGUGAAGGCAUUCUUACCUUGCUGCUGUCACUCUCAAAUAGGCAAGGACUUUAGGUGUGAGCCAAGUCUGUCUGCUUCUGGGUGUAAUAUAUAUUUUACAGAGGUGUUUUCUCUUGAUAUUUGGGACUUUUUCCUCUAGUGCUACUGGCAGUGUUAGUUGAUGGCUCCCAUGCCAGUAGGGCAGUGAGUCCAUUCCAGGUUUUGGCUGGCUUUAAAGGAGAUUGGCCUGUUUAUCACCAUGGAUCACUUCUUAAAACUUGCAGUAAAUCUUGGAGUGCCUCAUUGGUACGGGAGACAUCAGCCACUGCAAGUGAAAGGCUGUACAGCAUUAAAGGAGGGGUGCACGUUUCGCUCAAUAAGUUACUCCAACUACAUCUUUUGUGGAAAUAAUAUUCCUCUGUACUUAAUUUUUAUGCCACUCUGACUCCCAAAAUUGCCAGUUUGUUUACAGUUUUAAGUGUUCCUCAUGUUUAGAGAGAGAUGCACAGAUAAAACGGAGAAUGAAGCAAGGAAAAGCAAUGGUAGCUUCUUUGUUGCCUGAAAAUUCCUGCAUUUCUCAUUCCAUCUAUGGCCUCCUUCUUGCUUAUGGUGAACCCUCAUCUCGAAUCAGGCCUUGUGUGUGAUAUCCACAGAAGCCAGGCUUACACACCUGGAAACACAAUUCCUUUUGUGGAAGAAGGCUAGAAAUACGCCAUGUUAAAUCCACAUAAUAGUUGAGAAUUUUCUCUGACAAAAGAUAUCAAAAUAUAAUUGCAAACCAGUUUUGAGAUGACAAUUGUACCUUGUUGGCUUUUUUGUUGCACUUUUACCUCUGUUUUUUGCUCACAGUUUCAGUCUCCUGUCAUCAUGGCUCUAAGCCGCAUGCCUUUUUGGGAGCAUGCCCCGUACAGAUGAGACCCACAGACCCAAGAAGAAGUGCCUUACAAGAAUUAUUUCUGUGUACACUGAGUUUUUAAAAACUGUUUCUGGCUAUCAGCUGAAAGCAUAAGCAACAGCUCAAGGAAAAAUGUUUACAUUGGCGUGAACUUAAAGCGGACUUAGGGAGACCAAAAGUGGCAUCUCUGAAACCAGAGACCCUCGAAUCCUAGAACUGGAAGAGGCCCCAAGGGCAAUCUACCCAUGCCAUGCAGAAGACACCAUCAAAGCACUCCUGAAAGAUGCCCAUCUGAGAGGAAGAAAGAGAAACCUAAGAGGAAGUAGUAGAAGGACUCCCAAAUUGUGACCACCUCUCAGGCCUGGAAGACAUGAACAAUCCAGUGGUCCGUGGCUUGGAGGAAACAGAAGAAUUCCUUUCUCCUUCAAACCCUUUCAAAAUGGCAAUCAGAAGGAGCCCUGGUGGCGCAAUGGUUAAAUGCUGGUCCUGGAGCCACAACGUUGUAAGUUUGCUCCUAGAGGACUGCUCCAAGGUCCAUUCAGCCUUCCAUCAUUUUGUAGGUUGGUAAAAUGAGUACCCAGCUUGUUGGGGGCAAUUGGCUUAGAGUGUAAACUGCUUAGGUUGUGCUAGUUCAUUGAUAGGCGGUAUAGAAAUUUACUUGCUGUUGCUAUAUUACAUCACGUCUGGUCACCAUUUUGAGAGAUGCUGCAAUCGAAAAUGGAGGUACAAAGGCAAUAGUGACAGAAAAUAUCCUCUGGGUAACAAUUGCCCAUCUAGCCUUGGCCAACUGAAGCAAAUGUUGCCCAGAGAACCUGAGUGUACUCGGCAGAUUAUAUGGAAAGAGGUGAUCCUCCCUUCAUUGUAACCUGGACCCAAACCAUGUAAGGUUUUAAAGGUAAUAACCAACACUUGGUGCCUUGCCUGGAAACUAACUGGAUGCCAGUGAAGUGAUUUUAAUACAAGAAGCACAGAAUCUUGGAAGAGACCCCAAGGGCCAUCUAAUCCAAACCUCCCAAUGCCAUGCAGAAAGAGACAAAGCACUUACAAGAGAUGGCCAGCCUCUGUUUAAAGACCUCCAAAGGAAGAGACUCCACUAUUCUUUGAAGGAGUGUGUUCCACUCUUGAA